CUUAUACUCCCUUCGUCUGAAAAUACUUGUCAUUAAAAUGUACAAAAAAUGUAUCUAAAACUAAAAUACAUCUAAAUACAUCUCCUUUUAUUCAUUUUGAUGAUAAGUAUUUUCGGACGAAGAGAGUAUCAA
rfam:Triticum aestivum genome assembly, contig: Triticum_aestivum_CS42_TGACv1_scaffold_211956_3AS